rnacentral:misc_RNA from 1 species
GUGAAAUUCAAGGCAGAUGGGACCAUUGAAAGGUAUAAGGCUCCACUUGUGGCUAAAGGUUAUACUCAAAGGGUUGGUUUUGAUUAUCAAGAGACCUCUAGUCUUGUGGCUAAACACACAACUGUGAGAACUUUUCUUGCUCUUGCAGCUGUAUAUGGUUGUUUAUAAUGCCUUCUUGAAUGGAGAUUUGUUAGAAGAGGUGUAUAUGGAGAUUCCUUCGGGCUAUGACCUUAAGGUGGAGUAUGAAGACACAUCUAAUCUUGUGUGUAAGUUGUAGAAAUCUUUAUAUGGCUUAAAACAAGCCUCCAGGCAAUGGAAUAUAAAUUUUACAGAUAGCUUGUUGAAGGAAGGAUUUCUUCAGUCCAAAGCUGAUAAUUCCCUGUUCACUAAACAAACAGCUGAUGGUUUUGUUGCUUUGCUUGGGUAUGUGGACGAUAUUAUAAUUGGCAGUAGUAACGAAGUCUUGAUUGAUCAAUUGAAAACUGGUUUGAGCUCAUAUUUCAAGUUGAAGGAUUUGGGAAAGUUACAAUACUUUCUAGGUCUCGAAAUUGCUAGAUCUAGUAAAGGGAUUGUUGUCUCAAAGAAA